CCCCUCAAAUGCUUUGUAAUCAUCAAAAUCAAUUUAAAGAGCAACAAAUGCCAUGUAACAAUCAUAUAAUAAGAUCUUAGAUCUAGAGAUUCUCUGAUUUUAUAAGAUAAAUUUUGAUUUAUUUUAGUCUUCCGCUACCUGAUCUUGAAAAAGUUUCAAGAUCUAACCCUGAAACCCUAGAUCUGGUUUCUUCAAUUGGUAUAAGAGCCUAGGUUAUUUAUUAUAAGAUUAUUUAUAUAUGCUUAGAUUAUUUCUUAGAUUAGAUCUAAUUUAUAAUUUGAUUGUUAAAUCUGAAAUUAAAAUUUUUAAAUCAAUCACAAACUGUAUGUUGUCCUACUGUAAGGUUUACUCCUUACAGUGCAAAGGUUGUCCUAGUUCGUGUAGAUCU
rnacentral:lncRNA from 1 species